ensembl:snRNA U2 U2 spliceosomal RNA
AUCACUUCUUGGCCUUUUGGCUAACAUCAAGUGUAGAAUUAAGAUAAAUCUUUUUUUUUUGUAAAUGAAUGAAACCUGCUUGCACUCUCACAUGCUGUGUCCCAGCACUUAGGGUGGCUAGAAGCAUGUGAACUCU